UCAGAGGAGGAGAAGAUGAUCCUUCCGUUUGCGAAGCUCGGGACGCUGGCGCUGAAGACGAUGGCUAAGCCAAUCGCGAUCAGACUCAAGACGGAGGCCAGCCGCCACCCACAGUUCCGCCAAUUCAUCAUCAACCUCGCCCAGGUGCCCUGCUCGCUAUUUCCCUCCCUUCCUGCCACCAUUUAAUCUCCCCGUUCACCUCGGCGCACAAUUUUUAGAGAAAACUCUCGUCGCACACUUCAAAAUCAUCUGAUGUAUGUAGGUUGUGCCUGUGCGGGGUAAAGAGAUGAUAUUUGUCCCCUCUAGGGUUUGUGGCUGGGCUGUGCAGUCGCCUGUCUUUCCUUGAAGUUAGUUCUGUGGCGUCAAUUCAGUUCAUUUUAGCUGGCUUCUUUUUGGUUCGUUUUCAUGUCUUGGGUUGCAGGAAUGGUGGUUAGGAUAUGCCAUUAUGCAAAAUGCGGGCAACAGUUACUGAUGAAGAACACGGCCAUUUACUCUUUUGGGUGUUUAUAGCUCAAAAUACUUUAUUGGCCAAAAUAUAUGUUUCGUGAAAAGAAAAGAACAUAGACAUUAUACAACAUUUCCUUUCUGUAAAGAAAUUUGGAAGCUCAAACUUCACCGAUAGUUAAUGAUCUGACUACCAUACAUUAGCUUCUGAUGAUUAAUUUCCUAUUCACGGUAACCACAAGAACACAGAAGUUUCUCUAACAGUAGGCCAGUAAGCUACAUUUCGUGCUGAUGUACAUGAUAGUGGAUAUCUUCAGACUCAAAACAUCAUUUAUUGAUGAGGUUUGAGUGGUAGUUCACUCAAGUUUCAAGAAACUCGGUUGGGAUUUAAUGUUUCUUGCCAUAUAAACUAAUCCGGAAUUUUUUAUUCUUGAACUUUUUGCAUGGCAACCGACCAAUUACUGCCUUGUUAGUGGAAACCAGUCGGCAGCAAGGAAACAGUACCAAUGUGGAACUUUGAUUAUUGACAAAUCACCGCAUUUCCACGAAUAUCCAAAGAAGAAUAUAUGGGCAUUCAACCAAUGUUGAGAUUCGGCCUUUGAAUGAGGAGAAAGCUGUUCAAGCAGCUGCCGAUCUUAUAGGGGAGCUCUUUGUUUUCUCGGUUGCUGGGGCUGCUGUAAUCUUUGAGGUGCAAAGAAGUGCAAGGUCAGAGGCCCGAAAAGAGGAGGCUCGUAAAAAGGAAGUUGAGGAAUUGAGGAAAAAGGAGGAUCAACUGGCUCUAGAAAUAGAGACUUUGAAGCUAAAGCUUAGUGAGUUAGAGCACCUCGCCAACUCACGAGGCCUCUCUGGAGUUGUUUUCAGGAGCAGCAGUAUGACAGACCAAAAGGUGUCAUCACCAGUUUUAUUUUAGUUGAAGCAAUUAUCUCACAUCGUUGGCAGAAUUCUAACCAAGCACACCGAGUAUCAUCGAAUGUUGUCUGUAAUAUUUUGCAUGCGCCUGCGCUGAAACUUUAGAAGUGCCCAUCCUGCUGCCUAUCUUGUUCCAGCUGGUCAAACGGGCGUGUUGUAUCUGAGGCUAUGUUUACUAAUUUCAGAAAAAGCCUUGUGUAUCUGUCUUAUGUUGUAUGAUAAGAGUUCCAUGAAGAAAAGAUUGAUGAUUGGAAAGCUAAAUUAUGCAAAGUUAUCUGGCAUAGUUUAUUA